rnacentral:rRNA from 1 species
UUCUUUUUAUGGAGAGUUUGAUCCUGGCUCAGGAUGAACGCUGGCGGCGUGCCUAACAC